GAGAUGCAAGGCUUUGAUGGGAAGCUCGCUGCGCCAGUGUGUCCCACUGCCCAAUGCAGAUGUACCAGCGUAAGGCUCUGCCCAUCUCUGUGGGAUCUGAGUUCUUUCAUUGCAAAUGUGUGACACCCGAACACAAGCCACAAAUCAGUGUGGGCUGCAGGACCCUCAGCACUGCAAGAGGCCCUGCACACAUAGCCAUGGACAGGAGCUGAAGUAUUUCAUGACCCUGAGACUUGAAAGAUCCUCAUGGUUUUGGUCACAGGUGUCUGCUGAAUAACCUCAGCUUCUUCAGUUCACAGCUCUUAGCUGAGGCCAGCCAGUGUGAAGCAAGCUGUGCAAGAUCCUAGGAUGCCUCCUACCCUUCUGCCUCCCAUGCAGGCAAAUGGCUGUCGAGCUUCAAUCUGCCCAAGCAAACGGGGUGGCAAAGACAAGUGACCUACUUCUUGAGAAGCCGUGGUACUUCAGCGUCCUCGCUUUCCAUCAGCCCUCCAGGAAUCACGUGCUAGCCCCCUGAGGAAAGUACUGAAUUGCAACUCCCAUGUCAAAUCACCAUUUCUAAAUGAAAUACUAAAAAGUUUAACCUGUCAUUUCAUUUUCAGGGCAUUGUUCCUUUUUUUUAAAAAAAAAAUCUGAACAUAAAUUAUAGCCUGUUUGGUGGGGGGAAAAAGCAUUUGAGGCUAAAACUAAAAUUGAGUUUUUGAUUUUGAAGCAUUGAUUUAAAAUAGAGGGGAGGAAUUCAUUUUAAAUCAAUUCAGAAUUUCUGGUGAGAACAUACUCAUUUUUCCCUUGUCUUCUUUCUCCUCUCCUCCCUCCCUCUGUUGUAGUCUAACAGGUAAAGCAAAAAUAACAGCAAGCAAGGACACACAUCAGUGAUGCCGAGGAUUUCAUUAAAAUGUUUUAAGUUGAGGACAUGAAUAUAUUCAUCUUCUGCCCUCUGUGGGAAAGCGUAGCACACGUGUAGCAAGCCUGAAAACAAAAUGGCUGUUUUCUCAGCAAACCAACUGGGAUCCUAAAUAUUUAGUGCUCAGAUCUCCCUCUGGUAGUCAUGUGGCUGGACAGAGAUGCACACUGUGAGUACUGUCGUGCCCUAGGAGCUUUGCCACCUCCAUCCUACCUGGUGGCCCCAUGGGGACCAAGCUGUGGGCUCCCUAUCCCUACAGCAGGCCUGCCCCAGGCCCUGCAGCCAAGCUGCCUUGCAUUUAAUUGUGUUACCUUCCUCCUCAGCUUGUUUUCUGCCCAGAUCUUGUUUGUCCUGGGUCCCUGAGGAGAGCUCUGGGCUGCUCAGUUAAUUGGAAGUGGCUAAAGCCAUAGGCGGCAGCUAUGGGGGUGGAGGUGGUGGUGUUGGGUUCAAUUUGUGGAGGCUGUUGAAAAUCUUUGUCUUAGUUUAGCAGUCAUUCACUAUUAGGGUGAGAUGUUUGUCUGGGCACCUGCAGGGGAUUUCUGAGGUGUCCCAGGGGCCUGAAGAAGUGAUGGCAAUUAGUUUCAUCUGUGCUGUGUUUUAUUAAGCGAUGGUGAAGAGUGAAUGAGCUGAAAAGGAGGAGAGGGGAGUAAGGCUGAGUAAAAGGAUGUGGAAGCAAGAUGUAUGUUGGGACACAGAGGGGUCAGGAGCAGGCACGCACCACCAGUUGUACAAAACAGUGAAAGAGAACAGGGAAUGGAGUGCAAGUGUAUGACAGAGAGGGAAAGGCACAGUGGAAAAGUGUGCGUGACAUGUGCGUCUGUAGCAUGAGGGAAGAGGAGAGAAGGGGACGUGCAUAACACUAGCUCCUUGGAAGCCAGCUUUGCUGGAGGAGGGAGCGGGCUGGAAGCUCAUGUGCUGGUGAGCCAGCUCUGAGGCCUGGCGGCCAGGAAGGGCUGCAGAGCUUUGGUUUAUGCUGAUGAGACAUCUUUCCACUUGGGCAAAUGGCCGGAUUCCCUUUCUAAAUCACUCCAACGUGAUUUUAAUAGCAGGCAGAGGUGGCUUUUGGAUAAUAAAUGGGUACUAAACCCUAAAGAGACGGAGGCUGUGUCAUACAGAACAGAUGGUAAAUUAGAAAGAAUGGAAGUCUGUGACUUUGCUUAGCUCUGCUCUGAGCCGGGGAACUCUCACUCUUGUUAUGCUAACUAUUUAGUAUUUACACUGAAAGGUUGCUUUCUUGCCUGCCCUGACAUGGAAUAUCACAAUUAUGUAUAAUAGCAGCAAGAUCACACUGAUUAGGGAGGUGGCAGGAACGGCGAGACCGCAUGAUGAUGAUGUUCAUCAUCAUUCUUAUUAGUGAUCAUCAAUAAUUAAUAAUUGCAUUGUUUAUUCUUCAUCAGUGGUGGUAAAGACAUCCAGACAUGCCAAAAGGUUUAAAAAUCAUCUUGCUUUGUUUUGUUUACUGACAGAGACGGUCUCCCUCUGUAUUUUCUUUUUCACUUGGUGUUGCCUGGGCCCUGUUCACCUUCUGAAGGGUAUUCAGGCCAGUGGUUUGUGCCCUUUGGCUUCAAUGGGAUGCAAGCAUCUGCUAAGCGGAUACCUCAAUACAAUGCAGAGCUCCUGGGCUAGGCUGUGCUCUAAAGUGCAGCCAAGUACUGCAGAGCAGACCUGCUGAGAUACAUGGCACCCAAGCUACCUGGCCAGAUCUAGCUGGUACUUAGGGAAUUGUGAUGUGAUUGUCAUCCUGACAGUGUGAGCAAGUAUGUGUUCAUCAGCCAAAUGUCUGUUCUGGUAUUUCUUGGGCUAUUGCAUGGCCCUGUGGACUGGGAGAACUGGGAUUGCGUGAUGAAAUCUUGCGAGCGGUCUUAGUGAGGAGGCAUGCAGAUACAUGAACACAGGAAAUUACUGCUUUAAACACAAAAGCAGCCAGUUAAAGUAACACUGAUAUUGCUUCUCUGUCUGAUAUACAUAAGACAGUGCAAAUCCUAAAAUCAGCUGAAGUCAUGAAGGCAAGUGCUUACCACUGCCAUAAAAUAUUGAUCUUCCCCCCCUCUGAGCUCUGUCAGGCAGGCAUAUUGGAAGAUGUUUGCACCUCUUAAGCAGGUAUGCGAUGAAGAAAGAGUGAAGACAGCACUAUCAACCUAGAAUUCUACUUGGAAGAUCUGAGAAAAAUAAAUCCUUCAUCUUCUGGGACUUGAAUUCUCUCAUAGCCUUGCUGGAAAAGGUCUUUAAACCAAGUGCCUCUGACUCUACUGAGCUCUCAGAGGGAGAAGAAAAGAAAGAAGAUUUGAGUGCGUUAUGUUUUGAUUGUAGUUCCACAUAAAAGGACAUUUACAGCCCUAGCUUCUCUGUUUUGCAGGCUCCAAAUCUCCACCAGUCAGGGCAGCAUUCUUGAAUUGGCCUACCUAAUGACAGAUGCAUAAACUUACUUAUUUUGAGUUAAGUUAUCAAGGAAGCCCAUGAAUGCUAUAAGGAGGAACUGGACAAGAGAAGAACUUCAGCUUUUUUUUUUUUUUAAACAAGUCUUUUUAAUUCUUCUCCCAUUCUACUUAUGCACUUUGGAGACUGUAUUAUAUACCUAUUUUAAAAAUAAAAUAAUCAUAAAGCAUAAUUUCCUGUAAAAUUUUGAGGGGCAAAAAUCCAGUGGGUGAAGCCCCGAUGUUCAAGCUGAAUUAUUGUUUCUGUUAUUAAUGAUGAAGACCUGUAGCUACCAAUGAAGAAGAGAUCUUCAGUGUAUCCAUCACCAUACAAAUGUGGGGUAGAGAUGUUCCCUUCCCCUACAAGCUCAUCAUCCAAACAGACAAAACAAAUUCAGGCUGCAAGACAGAUCAGUCACACACUCUGUACCAAAGUGGAAGAUCCAGGUACACUUUCAGGAAGCUGAGCAUGCAGCUAACCUGCUGAUGGAGUAGUACAGUCUAAUAGGAUGAUUGAUGAAGUUGGAACAUAGAUACGUGUUUGUUUAUUGUGUCACUACAGCCAUCUCUAUGAAAGGACUGUGUUUUUAAACACGAAAAACGCCCUAGGAAUGGUCCAAAGAAAAGAAAAGAAAGGAUGGAAACAAAUUGGGAUAAAUAAACAAACAACAACAACAAAAAAAUACCCUGCAGAAAAUAAAUGUGGAAAACAGACUGAUGACAGCUUUGUGACAUCCACCCCUCUACCUCUGAGUGCCUUUUAUCCAACAGGAAAACAAAGCAUUCAGUUAAGGAAGACUGGAAAAAUUCAGGAAAAGGCCAUGUGGAGACAUCUGGAGAGUUAAAUCUGGGUUGUGGUGGGAGCACUUACAACGUGUAGAACACUGGUCCAAGCAGUCAAGCAAGCUGCUCUAGCCAGACCUGGGACCUGAACUACAGGAUAUAUGCUGCCUCCCCUGCUCCUUGAUCCAGGAGCUCUGAACUGACUCAAAGCCGUGUUCAUGGGACUCAUGGCGAAGUUGAAGAUCCCAGCUGAGGGACAGAGGAGAUGCAAGUCCUGUGAAGAGAUUCUAACGUACCAGUUCAGGGCUUGCUCUAGAUACUUUCCACAAAGUCUUAGAAGCAGUGCCUGGACUACAUGGUCAAAGCCAGUGGAAUAAAACCCAAGAGAAAUCCAGAAGAAAUCACCCAUGCCCAGGUAGAAAGAAGGCAAUCAGCUCCCAAAGUAGUGUAUGUGUUGGGAAACUCUCCUGAGCCACGUGAGAAAUACGGGAGCCUUGAGUAAGAAGUGCUGAUCAGAAUUACUACUUACAGAGCUGUGUGUGUGCAAGUACAGUGAAGAUCUUCAAGUGCUGACCCCAAAGUGGUGGGGGUGACCUCUGUGUUGCAGCGGGCCGUGCCAGACAGCUGGAGGGAAGAUAUUUUUAAUGCAUCCCACAAAUGCAGUAUGUUGCUGCUGCUACAGUGGAAGAGAAGCGGGGGUGGACCCUGCAGACCCUGAGCUGUGUGUAUUGAUUGAGGAAGCAGGCUUCUUCCAUGCAUUCACAGAGCCUGGUUUAGCCUGAGCUGGGACUCAGAGACUGUGUCUUUCUUUCUCUGGUUAUGAUUUAUGACUUCAAUCCAAUUUAUGGCCAUUUACAAGAAUGCUGAACUGGCUGUAAAUCAGUAAGAGACCAUAAAAUACUCAUGAGAGCUGCUGAAAUCCAUCUGGGUGAGCUUCCUUCCCUCCCAAGAGCAGCCAGCUGAGGGCAGGAAGAUGUAGGCCUCCCAUCAAGCCUCGUAGCAGCAACAGGGGGUGGGGAUGAAAUGAAGCGCUUGACUGGAGGAAAAGGCAAAGGCAAAGGAGGCUUGUUCUGAGAGCAUACAAGACUCAGAUGAGCCGCUGCCUAAGGAGAACUGCUAUGCAGGGCUUCUUCAGAGGAGCUUCACCAAAGAGCAAGGCUUACCUGGAAUCCGUGGCCUUCAGUGCAGCCAGUGGUUCUCUAAGAGUAGCUCAGUGUUCUACCGAGUUGCUGUUUUUUGUGAUAAACUUUCUGGCCAUUUUUAUUUUUACCAAUUACUCCAAUGACAUAUUUGUGUAGUGACAUGACAUAUUGAAACCACAGUCCUCAUGGAUCUUUUUAAAGUAAACCUUUAGUUGCCUUUCUUACACCUCAGCAAGGUGAUUAGAUCAUGCUCAGAAUGUAAAGAAACCCUCCAAGCAAGUGGCAACAUUGUGCCAAAUUCUAUACUCACCACAAGGACAGAAGGUGAGGCAGUAUUUAAAAACAAACAAACAAACAAACAAAAAAAACAACUGGGGCUAUUGGGAUUAAAAUCCCCUCUUUGCCUUGACUGCAGUGCGGACUUUCUCCCCUAACCCUAAAAAUGCCUUUAUUGACAGGUAACAGGUGACCAUGUAUAUAAGCGCUUACGGAGAAAUGUCAUUUGCUGCAUAAAUGCAACCCAGUACAGAUAAACCCAGAUUUUAUUUUACAUAUGCAAAGUGGAAUACAAAUCUUUCUUCAUCUUUACCUUAAUGUACAAGGGCUGCUCUGAAAGUAAUGCCUCCUAUUUCAUUAUGUUGGCCCACGAUGUCAGAGGCAGAUGGUGGUGGUAUGGCAGUAGAGGCUGAACCUUCCCUCCAACAUUCCAUUGCAUGUUGUUGCCGUGCAACAGAUGGCAGCAGAGGGGCAGUCUGACAAAAAGGCGUCUGACAUCGGAGUGCGUUUGAAACAAAGGUGUGUCACUGAAUUCCUCCAUGCAGAACAAGUGGCCCCCACUGAUACUAACUGAUGCUUGUUGAGCAUUUCUGGAGACCAUACAGUGGAUAUGAGCACAGUGAGGCGGUGAGUGGUAUGUUUCAGCAGUGGCGACAGCAAUGUGAAAGAAAAACCAUGUUUGGAUGGCCAUACACAGCUGUCUCACAACAAAAUGAAGAGUGUCUUGAUCAGCUCAUCCAUGGAAAUUGGCAGAUUAGAACAGGGGACUGUGUGCAGAGCUGAAUAUCAGCUUCAAUAUGUUGAAAACGAUGCUGGCAAUGCUGAAAUACUGCAAAGUUUAUGCAUGGUGGGUGCCAUGAAUGCUCACAGAGGAACAGAAAGAGCACUGUAUGUAAGUUUUUCAGGAAUUAUUGAACCAAUAUAAUGUCCAGGUGACAGUUUCCUGGAUUGCAUCAUUAGCGGUGAUGAGACGUGGUGUCACCGCUAUGAACUGGAGUCAAAACUGCAGUCCACGGAGUGGCAGUGUGUGAAUUCUCCAUUGAAGAAAAAGUUCAAGAUGCAGCUCUCAGUGGGUAAAGUGAUGUGCACUACCUUUUGGGAUAGGAAAGGGGUGAUUUCCUGGAUUUCCUGGAACCUGGACUAACUAUCAACUCUGACUGCUACAUCAUCACGCUGAGCUGAAGGUUCCAGCUUCCACAAUCAGGCCAGAGAAGAAAACAACCUUUCUCUUGCAACACAAUAAUGCCAGGCCCCACACCAGUCUGAAGACAAUGGAGCACGUUACCAAUCCUGGCUGGACUGUCCUACCACACUCAUCAUAUAGGCCAGAUUUGGCAUCUUCUGACUUCCAUCUGUUUGAGCCAAUGAAAAAUGGAUUGUGUGGGCAACAUUUUCUUAGCAACUACACCACUAUAGCAGCUGUGAAACAGUGGGCCACCUAUGC